UGACACUUGUGAAACAUCUCAAUACUCUAUCAGCUUGUGAGUAAAUGUCAUUAAGUUAAUGUAGCUGCAGUUUCCUUUUGUAUUGCCAAAGGUUUCAUGAAAAUAAUAGUUUUGUAAUAUGCAAGCAUGUGGCAAAAUAAUUGUAAAUAGACUUCAAGUUUAAAGAUUUUUUUUCCUAGUAUAGCUUUCUGUUGGUUCUAUAUGUAUUACCUUUCCCUUCAGAGUGAGCUUCUUGAGAGAAGCUGCAGUGUGAUUCGAUGUUUCCUUCAACUUUUUAAAAAAAGUUUCCAUGUUAAAACCUAGCACAAGUGUAUCAGGGGAUCUGUCUUGCUGUCAGUUUUUCAAAACAACUACAUUUUGAAGUCAGUGGGGAUAUCUGUUGAACAAGGUGUGGCAUAAUAUGGCCUAGGGCUACUAAGUUACUUACUUGAUAAAUAUUACAGGAAAUGUGUUCUUAGUAUUGCACUCUUGCUCUUUCUGCUAAGUGCCUUAACUACCAGCUUCUUCUUGUUAAUGGUUUCCCCAUGAAUGUGGUCUUUCUGCCAGACUGGCAUCAGUUGAGAAGAAGGAUAAUUGAGUCUGACAGCUGUCCCUCUUGUAGACCAGCUGGGACAUCUUCAGCAAUUAUGGAACACCAAAGAGAAGGGACAAGAGUCCAUAAAGAGGAACAGAACUCUGAGGCCUGUGUUUUUUGUUGGGAAAUGUGCCUGUCCCAGGGACUCAGGUGGAGAGCUGCUGUGCUGUCCAGGGACCAGAUCAGCUGGAGGAAGACCAGAAGCAAAUAAUGACAGCACAGCAGCAGCUUGCAACUGAACUGGAAGAGAGCGUUGCUGGUGUGGGCAGCCUGCCCAACUGGCCCUCCUGGUGUGAGCCCCUCUGACAGCAGCCCCCGAGACCGCCGUGGCAGGGGAGAGCCGCUGUGCCUGCUGGCAGCCCGGGGAGCGAUGGAGCGCAACGCUGACUGCACCGUCCUCGUCUUCAGUCCCG
rnacentral:lncRNA from 1 species